GGAAUAUUGGUCAAUGGGCGAGAGCCUGAACCAGCCAAGUAGCGUGCAGGAUGACUGCCCUAUGGGUUGUAAACUGCUUUUAUAGGGGAAUAAAGUGCGGAACGUGUUCCGUUUUGUAUGUACCCUGUGAAUAAGGACCGGCUAAUUCCGUGCCAGCAGCCGCGGUAAUACGGAAGGUCCGGGCGUUAUCCGGAUUUAUUGGGUUUAAAGGGAGCGCAGGCUGAUGAUUAAGCGUGACGUGAAAUGUAGCCGCUCAACGGCUGAACUGCGUCGCGAACUGGUUAUCUUGAGUGAGUUCGAUGUUGGCGGAAUUCGUGGUGUAGCGGUGAAAUGCUUAGAUAUCACGAAGAACUCCGAUUGCGAAGGCAGCCAACAAGGCCUUUACUGACGCUAAAGCUCGAAGGUGCGGGUAUCGAACA
rnacentral:rRNA from 1 species